CGCGCUUGGCGUGGAUGGCGCACAGCACGUUUAUGUGUGUAUACCACGUGCAUGCAGUGAUCUUGGAGGCCAGAAGAGGGCGUCAUACGACUGGGACUAGAGUUACAGAUGAUUGUCAGCUGCCUGUCAGUUAUAGGAAUUGAACCCCUUCCUCGGGAAAGGCAGUCUCUGGAGCAUGUUCAAUCAAACUGACAUGGCUAUAGUAUGAAAAAAGACCCGAAAGUUCCUGGGGACUCUGCAGUCUACUCUUAAAGAUACACACUAGGGAGCAUUUUACCGUUCCUACACCUAGCCUCGGUGGUUUCAAAAGGUUGAGCCUAAGUACAGUAAUUCUAAACAUUGCAGAAAUGUGUAGGAAGGGGCAGGAGGCUGCUGGAAGACUGUGAAGUUGUGGAUACACACAUGGACAUUGACCAGAUCACAAUUCUCUGCACUUUGUCUCCCCCCACCCCACCGCCCAGUUACAAUUACAGGACGAUUCAGACAUUUUAUGUUACUGUCUUUUUUUUUUUCCCCUAGUAAAAAUGUACAGUUUCAACAAAAACUUCAAAACAGGGAACUGUGGAGGGCUCUGUUGAAUAGCAUGGAAUGGAUAAGGCCACAAUUGUAUUGUAUAGAAACAUACAUCCUCAUUUUUGUCUUUACUAUUGAUAUAAUCAAACAUUGAAUCACUUUUUAACUCUAGUGUUUUAACUGUGUAGCAAUGAGAGUUAUUUGUGAUUAGUGGGAUGCACAGCCUCCAAAGAGCAUAGCUGGCAAGUUGACUCUUCAGGUGGGAUCAUGGCAUCCAACCCAAGGAGCUUAGUCUAAGCCUAUGGAAGGUUUCUGGUGCAAGAGAAGAGAAUCAUGCAGGUUGUCCCCUAAUCAUCAUAUCAUGGUCAUCUUUUGUGGGUGGUUACAGCACGAAAUACAUUAAUGAAAAUGUAACAAUAAAAAGUAAGAAC